UACGGGGGGAGCAAGCGUUGUUCGGAUUUACUGGGCGUAAAGGGCGCGUAGGCGGUAGCACAAGUCAGUUGUGAAAUCUCCGGGCUUAACUCGGAAAGGUCAACUGAUACUGUGCGACUAGAGUGCAGAAGGGGCAACUGGAAUUCUCGGAGUAGCGGUAAAAUGCGUAGAUCUCGAGAGGAACACCAAUGGCGAAGGCAGCUUCUUGGUCCAUACCUGACGUUCAUGCACGAAAGCGUGGGGAGCAAACAGG
rnacentral:rRNA from 1 species